rnacentral:tRNA from 1 species
GUUGUGAUCUAGUGUAAUACUUGCACAUAGAACAGGGAAGUCUAUAGAGGGUGCUGCCGACCAC